rnacentral:sRNA from 1 species
GAUUUAUUAUGUGCAGCCUGAAAAGGCUGAUGGCUGGAGGUUUUAUACCUCCAGCCU